rnacentral:rRNA from 1 species
AAUGAACGCUGGCGGCAGGCCUAACACAUGCAAGUCGAACGGAUCCUUCGGGAUUAGUGGCGGACGGGUGAGUAACGCGUGGGAACAUACCCUUUGGUACGGAAUAGCCUCGGGAAACUGGGAGUAAUACCGUAUGUGGUCGAGAGACGAAAGAUUUAUCGCCAACGGAUUGGCCCGCGUUGGAUUAGGUAGUUGGUGGGGUAAUGGCCUACCAAGCCGACGAUCCAUAGCUGGUUUGAGAGGAUGAUCAGCCACACUGGGACUGAGACACGGCCCAGACUCCUACGGGAGGCAGCAGUGGGGAAUCUUAGACAAUGGGGGAAACCCUGAUCUAGCCAUGCCGCGUGAUCGAUGAAGGCCUUGGGGUUGUAAAGAUCUUUCAGGUGGGAAGAUAAUGACUGUACCACCAGAAGAAGCCCCGGCUAACUCCGUGCCAGCAGCCGCGGUAA